rnacentral:rRNA from 1 species
CAGUAGCCGCGGUAAUACGUAGGUGGCAAGCGUUGCCCGGAGUUAUUGGGCGUAAAGGGCUCGCAGGCGGUUUCUUAAGUCUGAUGUGAAAGCCCCCGGCUCAACCGGGGAGGGUCAUUGGAAACUGGGAAACUUGGGUGCAGAAGAGGAGAGUGGAAUUCCACGUGUAGCGGUGAAAUGCGUAGAGAUGUGGAGGAACACCAGUGGCGAAGGCGACUCUCUGGUCUGUAACUGACGCUGAGGAGCGAAAGCGUGGGGAGCGAACAGGAUUAGAUACCCCUGUAGUCCCUGUCUCUUAUAC